CGCACUUGUUGAGUUUGGGAACUUUCAGAGGCUUGAACUUCUCACUUUGGACGCAGCGGAGCUCUCACCUCAUCAUCAUUAUCAUCAGAUUCAGGCGACGUGGAUGUAUGCUGACUUUUUCGUCUAGGACUAUGUUUUGCUUUGUCGAAGUUGAUGUGGAUUGUCUUCAGUGUUUUACGCGUUAGACGCACACAGCGCGCGCGAGUAAUAAAGAACAUAACUGUGAGGAUGUGGAUGCGCCUUUAAUGCAUAUACAGAUUCAUAUCUGAAGGAGAGUUAGUGUUUGUGGGGCUAUUGGGAUAUGGCACUAUUUAUGGACUUUAAAUGCUCUCUAAAGGGACACUCGCUGGUGCAGUGAAUGGAGAACAUCGCAGCUUUGCCAAGAUGGAUCAUCAGCCCAAAUCCCAUGGGACGCCACAGCAUGCUGUCAUCUGUUCAGAUGGAGUGACAUUAGUCUGUGGUGUUCAAGCAUGGACGAGAUAAUCAAGGAGGCGCUCUGACGAGGCUGUGGAUGAGAAAAUCAUACGGG
rnacentral:lncRNA from 1 species